rnacentral:lncRNA from 1 species
GGGGGAUAUUAGCUUCAAAUUUGAAAGUUGGUAAACUUUGGUGGGAGGGGCCAGAUUGGCUCUCUAAGUCCAAAGAAGAAUGGCCUAAAUUUAAGUGUAAUGUGAAGAGACCGGAAGUGAUAGAGGAAGAAAGAAAACCAGUAGCAAUGUUAGUACAGGUUAACAAGGUCAUGCAACCAUUGUGAUUGACUUAGACAAGUACAGUACAUCAGAACAGCUUUUUAGAGUGACAGCAUGGGUAUUUAGAUUCAAGUUUAAUUCUCAAGCUAGAGUAAAGAAUGUUGAUAAGCGUAGAGGAGAGCUUAGUGUUGAGGAGCUAGUUGAAGCAGAGGGAUUUUGGAUUAAGAAAGCUCAGAUAGAACUGAAGGAACAGAAGAAUUAUGGACAGUUGAGUAAUUCUUUAAGAUUAGUGGAGGAAGAAGGUAUUCUGAGGGGUAAA